rnacentral:rRNA from 1 species
UUCGAGUGGCGGACGGGUGAGUAACGUGUGGGUAACCUGCCUUACACAGGGGAUAACACCUGGAAACAGGUGCUAAUACCGCAUAAGCGCACAGGGCCGCAUGGCCCGGUGUGAAAAACUCCGGUGGUGUAAGAUGGACCCGCGUCUGAUUAGCUUGUUGGCGGGGUAGGGGCCCACCAAGGCGACGAUCAGUAGCCGGCCUGAGACGGUGGACGGCCACAUUGGGACUGAGACACGGCCCAAACUCCUACGGGAGGCAGCAG